rnacentral:tRNA from 1 species
UAAUAAGAAAUUUAGGUUAAACAUCAAACCAAGGACCUUCAAAGCCCUAAACAGGGGACCGCCCACCCCCUAAUUUCU